CACGUAGGGCGCAAGCGUUGUCCGGAAUUAUUGGGCGUAAAGAGCUCGUGGGCGGUCUGUUGCGUCCGCUGUGAAAACUCGGGGCUUAACCCCGAGCCUGCAGUGGAUACGGGCAGACUAGAGGUAGGUAGGGGAGAAUGGAAUUCCCGGUGUAGCGGUGAAAUGCGCAGAUAUCGGGAGGAACACCGGUGGCGAAGGCGGCAUCCUGGACCAACACUGACACUGAGGAGCGAAAGCCAGGGGAGCAAACGGG
rnacentral:rRNA from 1 species